rnacentral:rRNA from 1 species
UGGGGGAUUUUGCACAAUGGGCGCAAGCCUGAUGCAGCGACGCCGCGUGAGGGAUGAAGGCCUUCGGGUUGUAAACCUCUUUCGCUGGGUUGAAAGGCCAUGCUUUGGGUGUGGUUGAUUUGAACUGGUAAAGAAGUACCGGCUAACUACGUUCCAGCAGCCGCGGUAAUACGUAGGGUACUAGCGUUGUCCGGAUUUAUUGGGCGUAAAGGGCUUGUAGGUGGUUUGUCGCGUCUGUCGUGAAAUCCUGUGGCUUAACCAUGGGCUUGCGGUGGGUACGGGCAGGCUUGAGUGCGGGAGGGGCGACUGGAAUUCCUGGUGUGGCGGUGGAAUGCGCAGAUAUCAGGAGGAACACCGGUGGCGAAGGCGCGUCUCUGGGCCGUUACUGACACUGAGGAGCGAAAGCGUGGGGAGCGAACAGG